rnacentral:rRNA from 1 species
AGAGUUUGAUCAUGGCUCAGGACGAACGCUGGCGGCGUGCCUAACACAUGCAAGUCGAGCGGGGAUGAGCUAGUCAGCUUGCUGAUUGGCUUAUCCUAGCGGCGGACGGGUGAGUAACGCGUGAGCAACCAACCUUGUACUGGGGGAUAACAGCUGGAAACAGCUGCUAAUACCGCAUAAGACUACGGCACCGCAUGGUGCUGUAGUAAAAGGUGCCGGAAGGCGCCGGUACAAGACGGGCUCGCGUCCCAUUAGCUAGUUGGUGGGGUAACGGCCUACCAAGGCGACGAUGGGUAGCCGGCCUGAGAGGGUGUACGGCCACACUGGGACUGAGACACGGCCCAGACUCCUACGGGAGGCAGCAGUGGGGGAUAUUGUGCAAUGGGGGAAACCCUGGCGCAGCGACGCCGCGUGAGCGAGGAAGGCCUUCGGGUCGUAAAGCUCUGUCCCUGGGGACGAAUUAAGUGACGGUACCUGGGGAGGAAGCCCCGGCUAACUACGUGCCAGCAGCCGCGGUAAUACGUAGGGGGCGAGCGUUGUCCGGAGUUACUGGGCGUAAAGGGUGCGUAGGCGGCCUAUUAAGUCAGGUGUGAAAAACCCUGGCUCAACCGGGGUAUUGCACUUGAAACUGGUGGGCUUGAGUGCAGGAGAGGGAAGCGGAAUUCCUGGUGUAGCGGUGAAAUGCGUAGAUAUCAGGAGGAACACCAGUGGCGAAGGCGGCUUCCUGGCCUGUAACUGACGCUGAGGCACGAGAGCGUGGGGAGCAAACAGGGUUAGAUACCCUGGUAGUCCACGCUGUAAACGAUGGAUACUAGGUGUAGGGGGCGAUUUAGCCUUCUGUGCCGAAGUUAACGCAAUAAGUAUCCCGCCUGGGGAGUACGGCCGCAAGGUUGAAACUCAAAUGAAUUGACGG